rnacentral:rRNA from 1 species
UGCCUGUUUUUACAAAAACAUUUCUUUUAGUAUAAAAUUAAAAGUAGGUUCUGCUCAAUGAUUUGUUUUAAAUAGCUGCAGUAUAUUGACUGUACAAAGGUAGCAUAAUAAUUAGUUCAUUAAUUGUGAACUUGAAUGAAUGAAUAUAUGAGAUAUAUUUUUUAUUUAUUUUAUUAUUAGAAUUUUAUUUUUAAGUAAAAAAGCUUAAAUUAUUUUUAGGGACGAUAAGACCCUAUAGAGGUUUAAUUUUAAUUUUUUUUUAAAUUAUUUUUGUUUAAUAUUUUUUUAAAAUCAUUAAUAUUUUUUCUGGGGCGGAAGAUAAAUUUUAACUUUAUUUUUUAUUUUCAAAAAUUUUUGAUUUUGUUGAUCCUUUAAAUUUUUAUUAAUUAGAUUAUAAGAUUAAGCUACCUUAGGGAUAACAGCGUAAUUUCAAUGGGGAGUUCUUAUUUAUAUUGGAGUUUGCGACCUCGAUGUUGAAUUAAGAUUAGAUUUUGGGGUAGUUUUUAAUUUUCUAAGUCUGUUCGACUUUUAAAUUCUUACAUGAUCUGAUU